AGGAGAGGGUGAGGGCUUAAAGCAAAGCAUGUGUUGGGGUUGGGGAGUGGGCUGGCACUACCCUGAGGGUGCAUGGGAGAGGCUGGAGGAGGGAGACCGAAAGAGCCCUGGCCUCUGACCCCGCCUGCACUCCCCACCUUGGAGUAGGAAGUGGAAGAGACGCCGGAGGAGUGGAACCUCUACUACCCGAUGCAGCUGGACCUGGAGUAUGUGAGGAGUGGCUGGGACGACUACGAGUUUGACAUCAAUGAAGUGGAGGAAGGCCCUGUCUUCGCCAUGUGCAUGGCGGGUGCUCAUGACCAGGCGACGAUGGCUAAGUGGAUCCAGGGCCUGCAGGAGACCAACCCAACCCUGGCCCAGAUCCCCGUGGUCUUCCGCCUCGCCGGGUCCACCCGGGAGCUCCAGACAUCCUCUGCAGGGCUGGAGGAGCCGCCCCUGCCCGAGGACCACCAGGAAGAAGACGACAACCUGCAGCGACAGCAGCAGGGCCAGAGCUAGUCUGAGCCGGCGCGAGGGCACGGGCUGUGGCCCGAGGAGGCGGUGGACUGAAGGCAUGAGAUGCCCUUUGAGUGUACAGCAAAUCAAUGUUUUCCUGCUUGGGGCUCUC
rnacentral:sRNA from 1 species